AAACCGGUUGAUCCUGCCGGACCCGACCGCUAUCGGGGUAGGGCUAAGCCAUGCGAGUCGCGCGCCCGGGGGCGCCCGGGAGCGGCGCACGGCUCAGUAACACGUGCCCAACCUACCCUCGGGAGGGGGACACCCCCGGGAAACUGGGGCCAAUCCCCCAUAGGGGAAGGGCGCUGGAAGGCCCCUUCCCCGAAAGGGACGGCGGCCGAUCCGUCGCCGUCCGCCCGAGGGUGGGGUCACGGCCCAUCAGGUAGUUGGCGGGUUAAAGGCCCGCCAAGCCGAAGACGGGUAGGGGCGGUGAGAGCCGCGAGCCCCGAGAUCGGCACUGAGACAAGGGCCGAGGCCCUACGGGGUGCAGCAGGCGCGAAUACUCCGCAAUGCGGGCAACCGCGACGGGGCUACCCCGAGUGCCGGGCGAAGAGCCCGGCUUUUGCCCGGUCUAAAACGCCGGGCGAAUAAGCGGGGGGCAAGUCUGGUGUCAGCCGCCGCGGUAAUACCAGCCCCGCGAGUGGUCGGGGUGUUUACUGGGCUUAAAGCGCCCGUAGCCGGCCCGGCAAGUCGCUCCUGAAAUCCCCGGGCCCAACCCGGGGACGGGGGGCGAUACUGCCGGGCUAGGGGGCGGGAGAGGCCGCCGGUACUCCGGGGGUAGGGGCGAAAUCCGUUAAUCCCCGGAGGACCACCAGUGGCGAAAGCGGGCGGCCAGAACGCGCCCGACGGUGAGGGGCGAAAGCCGGGGGAGCAAAGGGGAUUAGAUACCCCUGUAGUCCCGGCCGUAAACGAUGCGGGCUAGCUGUCGGCUGGGCUUAGGGCCCGGCCGGUGGCGAAGGGAAACCGUUAAGCCCGCCGCCUGGGGAGUACGGCCGCAAGGCUGAAACUUAAAGGAAUUGGCGGGGGGGCACCACAAGGGGUGAAGCUUGCGGCUUAAUUGGAGUCAACGCCGGAAACCUCACCCGGGGCGACAGCAGGAUGAAGGCCAGGCUAACGACCUUGCCGGACGAGCUGAGAGGAGGUGCAUGGCCGUCGUCAGCUCGUGCCGUGAGGUGUCCGGUUAAGUCCGGCAACGAGCGAGACCCCCGCCCCUAGUUGCUACCCCGUCCUACGGGACGGGGGGCACACUAGGGGGACUGCCGGCGUAAGCCGGAGGAAGGAGGGGGCCACGGCAGGUCAGUAUGGGGCCGCGGCCGGGAGACCCCGGGGCUGCACGCGAGCUGCAAUGGCGGGGACAGCGGGAACCGACCCCGAAAGGGGGAGGCAAUCCCGUAAACCCCGCCCCAGUAGGGAUCGAGGGCUGCAACUCGCCCUCGUGAACGUGGAAUCCCUAGUAACCGCGUGUCACCAACGCGCGGUGAAUACGUCCCUGCCCCUUGCACACACCGCCCGUCGCACCACCCGAGGGAGCUCCCUGCGAGGCCCCUUGCCGAAAGGUGGGGGGACGAGCAGGGGGCUCCCAAGGGGGGUGAAGUCGUAACAAGGUAGCCGUAGGGGAACCUGCGGCUGGAUCACCUC
rnacentral:rRNA from 1 species